GACGAACGCUGGCGGCGUGCUUAACACAUGCAAGUCGAACGGAAAGGCCCUGCUUUUGUGGGGUGCUCGAGUGGCGAACGGGUGAGUAACACGUGAGUAACCUGCCCUUGACUUUGGGAUAACUUCAGGAAACUGGGGCUAAUACCGCAUAGGAGCUCCUGCUGCAUGGUGGGGGUUGGAUAGUUUCGGCGGUUGGGGAUGGACUCGCGGCUUAUCAGCUUGUUGGUGGGGUAGUGGCUUACCAAGGCUUUGACGCGUAGCCGGCCUGAGAGGGUGACCGGCCACGUCGGGACUGAGAUGCGGCCCAGACUCCUACGGGACGCAGCAGUGGGGAAUAUUGCACUAUGGGCGGAAGCCUGAUGUAGCAAAGCCGCGUGCGGGAUGACGGCCUUCGGGUUGUAAACCGCAUUCGCCUGUGACGAAGCGUGAGUGACGGUAAUGGGUAAAGAAGCACCGGCUAACUACGUG
rnacentral:rRNA from 1 species